rnacentral:rRNA from 1 species
CGGUGUUUAACUGGCGUGAUGUGGGACGUCCUACCGGUGGGCUUAGCCUCGCGAGGGGCGGCCCAACUAAUAUCCCGUCGCGGUGCUCUUUACUGAGUGUCGAGUCGGGCCGGUACGUUUACUUUGAACAAAUUAGAGUGCUUAAAGCAGGCUAUCCUCGCCUGAAUACUGCGUGCAUGGAAUAAUGGAAUAGGACCUCGGUUCUAUUUUGUUGGUUUUCGGAACCCCGAGGUAAUGAUUAAUAGGGACAGAUGGGGGCAUUCGUAUUGCGACGUUAGAGGUGAAAUUCUUGGAUCGUCGCAAGACGGACAGAAGCGAAAGCAUUUGCCAAAAAUGUUUUCAUUAAUCAAGAACGAAAGUUAGAGGUUCGAAGGCGAUCAGAUACCGCCCUAGUUCUAACCAUAAACGAUGCCAGCUAGCGAUCCGCCGAAGUUCCUCCGAUGACUCGGCGGGCAGCUUCCGGGAAACCAAAGCUUUUGGGUUCCGGGGGAAGUAUGGUUGCAAAGCUGAAACUUAAAGGAAUUGACGGAAGGGCACCACCAGGAGUGGAGCCUGCGGCUUAAUUUGACUCAACACGGGAAACCUCACCAGGCCCAGACACCGGAAGGAUUGACAGAUUGAUAACUCUUUCUUGAUUCGGUGGGUGGUGGUGCAUGGCCGUUCUUAGUUGGUGGAGCGAUUUGUCUGGUUAAUUCCGAUAACGAACGAGACUCUAGCCUGCUAAAUAGGCGUACCUUAUGGUAUCGCGAAGGCCCCCGGCUUCGGCCGGUGGGUUUUUACUACCAACGUACAAACAAAUCUUCUUAGAGGGACAGGCGG